rnacentral:tRNA from 1 species
GGGCUCGUGGUCUAGCCGGUUAUGACGUCGCCUUCACACGGCGAAGAUCGCCAGUUCGAAUCUGGCCGAGCCCA